rnacentral:rRNA from 1 species
CCUACGGGAGGCAGCAGUAAGGAAUAUUGGUCAAUGGGGGCAACCCUGAACCAGCCAUGCCGCGUGCAGGAAGACGCCCUAUGGAUCGUAAACUGCUUUUAUCUGGGAAUAUGUACCAGAGGAAUAAGGAUCGGCUAACUCCGUGCCAGCAGCCGCGGUAAUACGGAGGAUCCAAGCGUUAUCCGGAUUUAUUGGGUUUAAAGGGUGCGUAGGCGGCCUGUUAAGUCAGGGGUGAAAGACGGUAGCUCAACUAUCGCAGUGCCCUUGAUACUGAUGGGCUUGAAUGGACUAGAGGUAGGCGGAAUGAGACAAGUAGCGGUGAAAUGCAUAGAUAUGUCUCAGAACACCGAUUGCGAAGGCAGCUUACUAUGGUUCAUUGACGCUGAGGCACGAAAGCGUGGGGAUCAAACAGGAUUAGAUACCCUUGUAGUC